rnacentral:rRNA from 1 species
CCUACGGGAGGCAGCAGUAGGGAAUAUUGGACAAUGGGUGCGAGCCUGAUCCAGCCAUGCCGCGUGCAGGAAGAAGGCCUUCUGGGUUGUAAACUGCUUUUGCCGGGGGAUAAAAGACCCAUGCGUGGGGAAUUGAAGGUACCCGGUGAAUAAGCCACGGCUAACUACGUGCCAGCAGCCGCGGUAAUACGUAGGUGGCGAGCGUUGUCCGGAUUUAUGGGUUUAAACGGGUGCGUAGGCGGCCCCGUAAGUCAGUGGUGAAAUACGGCAGCUCAACUGUCGAGGUGCCAUUGAUACUGCGGGGCUUGAGUACAGUCGAGGUAGGCGGAAUUGACGGUGUAGCGGUGAAAUGCUUAGAUAUCGUCAAGAACACCGAUAGCGAAGGCAGCUUGCUAGGCUGUAACUGACGCUGAGGCACGAAAGUGCGGGGUAUCAAACAGGAUUAGAUACCCUGGUAGUCCGGCACAGUAACGAUGUCGACUCGGUGUUGGUCGGUACGACGGCCGCGCGCCGUACGCGAAGACGUUAGUAGACCGACCGNGGGAGGUACGCCGCGAGGUAAGGUAACGUACGAAGAAGUAGACGGCGUGNGCGNGCCGACGGCGACGACCGAGGGAGGAGG